rnacentral:rRNA from 1 species
AUUGAACGCUGGCGGCAGGCCUAACACAUGCAAGUCGAACGAGUGGCGGACGGGUGAGUAAUGUCUGGGAAACUGCGCGAUGGAGGGGGAUAACUACUGGACACGGUAGCUAAUACCGCAUAGCAGAGGAUGUGCCCGGAUGGGAUUGGAUAGGCGGUGGGGUAACGGCUCACCUAGGCGACGAUCCCUAGCUGGUCUGAGAGGAUGACCAGCCACACUGGAACUGUGACACGGUCCAGACUCCUACGGUAGGCAGCAGUGGUGAAUAUUGCACAAUGGGCGAAAGCCUGAUGCAGCCAUGCCGCGUGUGUGAAGAAGGCCUUCGGGUUGUAAAGUACUUUAAGCGAGGAGGCGUUACUCGCAGAAGAAGCAUCGGCUAACUCCGUGCCAGCCGCCGCGGUAAUUC